GCCCGCCUUAAUCAUCUUGUUAUCUGGAAAAAACAAACUUUGUUUUCUUGUGAUAACGAGAUAAAUUAUCCUAAAAUCUUAAGAAAACU